ACUUUUAAUAACAAAUCUCUUAGUUCUAGCAUUAAUAAAGAACAUAGCAAAAUGCAAUAAGUAAUAUAAAUUAUAGAAUUUAGUAAAUUAUUAAAUCUUUAAACGUAUAUUAUACCCACUAGUAUUCUAGUAGGUAUACCUAUUUAAGCGUUAUUUUAACCCUUAAGCCUGCUACAUACUUAGUGUUAGGGACUAGCCUACCUACCUCGUAGUGGCGGCCGCCCCUAAAAUAAAUUAGCAGUCUUAUUAUAGCCUCCUUUGCGUAGUAAUAUACUACCUUAUAACUAAGAGUAUAGCAUAGCUACUACUAUAAAACGCCUAACUUCUCUAAGAGUUAACCUUAAAUCAGGUAGGAAUACCUGCUAAACUUAAGUAUAUUAAUAAGCAAAGGAAAAGAAACUAACAAAAAUUACCCUAGUAAUAGCAAGUAAAGCAGUAAUAGCUUAAAUUUAAAAUCUAGCCCCUAGGGCUUAAGUUAUAAUUUACAGAGAAUACUUUUAGCAAGGCGCCUUUUAAGUUCCCUAGAACAGGAUACUACAAAGGGUAAGAGCCCUAUUUAGUUAGAUGCUAAGCCUCUAUAAAGCUCCUUUAAUAAGUUAAGUAGUUUAGGAAUACUGCUUUAAAUAGAAGGUAUAUAUUUUCUAAAGCUAAAUAUUAGCUAGAGACUAAUAGCGCAUAAGUAAAGUAAUUAAAAGAUAAAAAGCACUUUAAAAAGAGAGUUAAAUAGUAUAUAAAAUUAUUAAAAGGAAAGCGCUUAUAACUAGACUUAGGCCUAGUAAAUUAUCUAGCGUUCUUACUAGUGCACUUCGCUAGGCCUAGGCUAGCAUUAGUUCGCCCUAGGGGACAAAGGCUUUAGGAAUAUAGCUCCUCUAGGAGUGUUAUAGCCCUCUACGCAAUGCCCUAGGGCAGACUAAGGUCCACGCAUCUACAAGAAUACUAGCGUAAUAGUUAUUAGCAACCUGUCUUAAAACAUAGACUAAGGAGUUAUCCUUAUAUAUAAGUGUUUAGGUAUAAAACCCUUACACGUAAUAAAAGUAAACGUAAGUAAGAGCUUUAGCGCAUUAUUAACUAAUCCUAAUGUUCUUGGAUAGAUUUAAGUAAGAGCAUAUAAGGCUAGACCUAAAAGAAGGUAAACUAUGCCUAUAUAGGGUAAAGCUAGAGGAAACUCUAGUAGAGGCUUAUAGCGGUUCUAACGUGUAAAUUAAUUAUUAAAUAUAGGCAUAGGGGCAAAAGACUAAUUAAACCUUCUAGUAGCUAGUUUUCACUAAAGUUUCCCUUAGGAUAGUAGUGUUAAUCUUAGUUUUAUAAGGUAAAGCAAAUAAUUAGGGACUUAGGGGCUAUAUACUACCUUUAUCUAUUCUUAAACUUUAAAUAUAUAAGAAGCCCUUAUUACUUAAUUAAACAUAGGCAUUUAAAUGUAUUAACACUAGUAGGCUAUUUUUAGUAAGUAGAACUAGCGAUGUAAGAUAAACUAAACGCAAGGUUAAGGUGCUAGAGUAAACGCUUAUUAGACACCACAAAAGGUAUUAGUAUAUCUUAAUAGCAGGACAGUAGCUAUAGAAGUCAGAAUCCGCUAAGGACUAUAUAAUAACUUACCUACUAAAUAUACUAGCCCUAAAAAUAAAUAGCGCUUAAGUAUCUUACCUAUACCUUACCCUUAGGGUAAAAACAAAGCCCUAAGGAGUAGGCAGACAUAGGGGUUAGUAAUAAAGCCUAGGGCAUAAGCCUAGGUUAAACAGCCUCUAGUGUAAAUCUUAGUGGUAGUAGCAAAUACUUUAAUAAGAACUUAAAGGACUAAAGUAAGGAAAGGUUCUAUGUAAAUAGCGGUUAGAUAUAGGUUAGUCAAUCCUAAGCUAUAAGGAAGUUCCGUUUUAAAGGUAUACUUAUACGCUAUCUAGCAAAAGGGGAGCUAGUUAAUAUUCUAGCACCUAGAUAUAGGUUUUACAUAGUAAUAUAACUAAACGCAAAGACAAUAGCGGGGGCCCUAAGUAAAGUUCUCUUUUUUUCUUAAUAGUCUCUUACUUUAAAAUUAGUUUAUCUAAAGAUAGAGUUUAAUAGCUAGAAGAGCCUAGCACCUCUACUAGGUUUAGUGCGCUCCUAAUAUCCCUUAAAAAUCCAUAGGAAAGAAUAAUUCUCACGCUAGGUUAUACUCAUAACCGCAGCAGGUCUCUAAGGUAAAUAGCCUCUAGUUAAUAAAAUAAUAUAAAUAAGGGAAGUUAGUAAAAUAGAUUUAUAACUUUAGGAAAAGAAUUAGCUCUAAGGGUUAGGUGCGUUAGGCCUUAGGAGGACACCCUAGGAGCAAGCAGCCACUAGCCAGGCAACUAGCUAGCGGCAGCUAGCAUCCAGGUGCUAAUGCCCUUAGCAGGCCUCGGCUAUCUAGCGCACGAUUAAUAACUAACUUAGAACUAGUAUAGACAAGGGGAAUCUAACUAUCUAAUUAAAACAUAGCAUUACAAUAGCCAGAAAGUAGUGUUAACACAAUGUGAUUUCUGCCUAGUGCUCUAAAUAUCAAAGUGAAGUAAUUUAACCAAGCGCAGGUAAACAGCAGGAGUAACUAUAACUCUCUUAAGGUAGCUAAAUACCUUAUUAUCUAAUUAGUAACGCAUAUAAAUAAAUUAACAAGAUUCCCACUAUCCCUAUCUACUAUCUAGCAAAACCAUAGCUAAGGGAAUAGGCUUAGCAAAAUCAGCGGGGAAAGAAAACCCUAUUAAGCUU
rnacentral:rRNA from 1 species